UAUACAUGGAUCCAAGAGUGUGGGUUUCCUCUCACCAAGGCCAGUCAGACUACUGGUGCUGCUGAAUAACCAGUUUACCAGCAGCAGAAAUGAUGAUGAGCCUUCAAGAAGGCAGGGGAAUAAUUAUCCCUCUUUUGUGACUUUGACUAUAUCUGAUCUUUAAUAUGUUGGAGGGUAAGUAAUACAUUUUUUCAGACUCAAUAUCUACUCUAAAAUAUAAAUGUUUUUUCUUCCCACAGUGGCUUUUCCACUAUUGUAUGUUACACAAUAGUGUGUGAGAGUAAAGGCCUCAUUUAUGACAAAAUUGUUGCAACAGUAGGAAUACGACAAUGGGUUCCUCCAGUGUUGUUAUCAACCUUGCCUCCCAGAGCAUCCAAUCUAAUAGAAACGAGCUAUAUUAUGUUAAAGUCUCAGCACACCAAAGGGAAAAAAAUAGAUGAGUUGUUUUCAAAUAAUGAAACCUGCUUCUCAAGAGAGCAGUUGUCUAUGAAGCAAAAACUGUCUGUUUACUCUUUGUGACUGCCUGCUUCACCUAUUAUCCAUCACCUCUCUGACCUUGAAGAAUUCUUUCUGAAUGUGUUUACAAAGAUGCCUGGCUUUCUCCACAGAACAGAAUACAUCAAUAUUAUAUACUCUUGAGCUUCUCAUCUAGCAAAGUUGUACCUCUAGAUAGAAUAUGAUCCUCUGACUCAAGUCAGAAUUCAGUAAGAUUCAGACCAACUUGAUUUGGAUAAGACGCCAUCAUUUGUGGCUAGAGAGAAAUUAACAGAGAAGUUUCCAUAAAACCACAUUUGUAGAACUGAGAGUUAGAGAGGGUAAAUUCAAUAAGUAGGAGUUUGUUGAGAAUACAAUAGGUCCACUACAAUAACCAUGAAAAUGUAAAUUAGCUAAUAGAGUCUUUCUAAAUGUAUGCUUCUUUUACUAUUUUAAAUGGGCUAAGUUUUAUAGUACUAUAGAACAGUGAUUUGACUGUCUAGACCUAUUCAUAAAAGUUUUUGAAAGCCAUUUUUCAGUGAGCAUAUUACUUAUUAUAAUAUAUAGAGUAUCUUUAUUAUUGAGACUAUAUAUUCUUUAGAAAAGCUCUUUCCAAUAGAAAUAUAUGAGCCACAUGUGUAAUUUUAAGUUUUCUGGCACACAUUUUUAAAAAGUAAAAACAAACAAGUGAAAUUAAUUUUAAUGGUAUAUUUAAUUCAGCUGAAUGUAUCCAAAAUAUUAUUAUUUCAAUGUGUCACAUUACCUACAUUUCAAGUGUUCCACACAUCUAUAGGUAAUGGCUGCCCUAUUGGAUGGUGUAGCUCUAUGAUGUAUGGUUUAUACAACGUAAAUGCCUAAACUAUAUGCUCUAUCUAUAGGUGUGUAUAUGUGUAUUCUAUGUAAAUAUAGAAUAAAUUUAUUCUAUAGGCCUAUUCUCUAUUGUAUAUAUUCUAUUGUUAUUACUGUGUUUGUAUAUUAUGCAUAUUGUUAAACAUACACAUUUUUAAGAGAAUUACAGAAUGAUUUGCAUGAGUGUAAUUUCUAAUGACUUCACUCACACGCCAGCACAUCAUGGUGAGUGUUUAUGAGUUUACAGAGCACUGUGGUAGAGAUUUAGUUCCAUUUAUUUUUCAAGGACUUAGGAGUCUAAGUCUAUUUGCUGAAUCAAUUAAUGUAGAAAAUAAUUUGAUCAAUAACAGACAUAUUCAAAUAAUGAGGGAAGUAAUUCAUAAACAAAUUUCUGAUUAGCCUUCAAUUGACUUUGGUGAUGAUUCACUAAGGUUGUCUUCUUUUACCAGAUAAUUUUUUUAAAUAAAAUAGAACAUUUCAAACAAUAUCAAAUAUAAAUAAGCAGUACAAUUCAAGGAAACUUAAAACUAAGUAUGGUAUUUCCUCUCUAAGAGAAAACUUCAAAAUCCUUUCCAUUUUAUAAGAUGCUUCAUAAGCAUGCAUAAGUGUAUUUGAACAUCACUUAUCACAAGUAAAAUCAGUAUAAGAUCCUAUACUCAAAUCGGAAAUAUGAAAUGAUUUUUACUUCUCAAUGUGUAUAAAAUGUAUAAGAAAAAAACAAGCAAUAAAGCUCUCCUCUUAUUUAUCUUUAAAAAAGGGUUGAAUCAGCCUUGAAACAUUUUGUAUUUUCUGCAUUUCCCUAUGGGAUUCUUUUUGAAAAAUUAUUCAAGGUUGUUGAGGAUGGCACUUAUCUGCAGAAAGUCCUUCACUUCAAGAACAUUUUAGGACCAUUUGGUGCUGAGGAAAUUGAGGCUCAGAGAAAUGCAAAAUAAGCUUCUGGAAGGACCUGGCUAAAUGUCACCAGUCCUUUAAAACAGUGAUGUAUGGCAGGCAAGGCUUGUGAAAGUCAGAGCUAUGCAUCCUCUUAUGCAACCUUGCCUUUAGUUUCUUUCCUGGUGCUAGUUUGAGAGAUAAAUUUGAGCUAAGGGCCUUGGAUUUCAUGCGUACACUGAGAGCAGGUGAUUUCUCACUGCUGUCUUUCAUAUCAUCUUUGCUUUCCUCCUCUUGAUCUUCACCUAUGAGAGGAGAUGCUUUCUAGGUGAGGUAAAAUAAAUACAUAUGUAAAAGGAGUCUAAGCACUACCACAGAAGAUUUAGGGAUUAAACAGUUCUGGAUUAAAGUGAGAAGGGGUAAGAGGAGCUCUGAACUCUGCCGGGGAUCAGCCCUUUAAAUGUAUUUGUUGUUCUCAAAUAUGUAAUUGGAGAAAUGGCAUCAGUGAGUACAUAAAAGCAACAAUAUAUUUGGAGGUUGGCAAUUCUUUAAUUUAACCCUCAUCUCUAUCAGCUAUAUAGGGAUGCAGAAAAGUAAACUCAGGCACUGCCAUUUCCUGCCUUGGUAUUAAUCAGAACCAAAAAGAUUUGGAUACACAUAAACAUAACUAAAAAUAUACUUAAAAUCCUUUAAGAACAUUAAUCAUACAUUAUGGAUCUACUGAGUUAGUAAAUGCUUAACAAAAAUAAUUUUAAAAUUCCGUAAACACAAUAAUGUUGUGAGUUUAAAUCAAACUUUAAUAUAACAAACAUCCUUGGCCUGCAUUGAUUGCCAAGGAUGUAAAGGAUACUCAAAACAAUUUAUACCAAUCUUCCCUUCAUAAAGAUGUUAGUAACAUAUAUAGCAAAAAAAAAAACAAAAAGAUAAAAGGAAAAAGACCAUGUCAGAGGACCAUAGUCUCCAUCCUUUACAUACUCUUUCUUUUACUAUCGUUUUUUGGGUGUGUGUUGCUGAGGAUUUAUUUAUAACUUUUGAAUAUGCAAUCCUCCUUUGUUUCAAAGCUAGAGGCUUACAGCCCUGAUUAUAGCUUCUUGUAGAAUAAUCUUUCCUUUUCUCCAGAAAGUUAUACCACAAUAUACAUCAAAUCUGCAUGUAAUGAUCUCUAGAACUACUUUGCUCUAUUACAAAAACUUCCCCCUAUACUCACUAUAACACACACACUCUGUCUCUCUCACUUAGACCUAAUAUUACAGAAUUAAAUUUUGCCCAUUUAUGCUGCUCUUAUACAUUCUGAGCUCACAGCUUUUUCUUUAUGGAUUUUGCUUGUCUUGGCACCAAGAGAGAAUCUUUUAGGCCAUCCACCUUAAAAGACUUGUGUCAGGCUACCCCAUCUACUCUGUCACCUCCCCCUACUAGCUCCUUUCAUAAUCAUCCAUACAACCUGCUCAUUCAGUUCUUUAAUUCCUCUGAAAAUAUUGUUCUCACUCUUUUUUCCACAUAAUAAAAGGAGCUAUUUACUUUCAAAUGAAGCAGCACCAUUUUAGAACAAGAAAACUGGCUUUUGUGUGCUCUAUCACCUGGAAGACCAUCACUCAAGGAAGAGAUAUUUUCAAGUAUUAUUUUUCUAACUACAUGAUACAUUUAAAAUAAACUUCUUUCUAAGGAUCUUACAGAACUGGUGAAGUUGUUUGGCUCUGUGUGCCCACCCAAAUCUCAUCUUGUAGCUCCUAUAAUUCCCACAUGUUGUGGAAGGGACCUGGUGGGAGAUAAUUGAAUCAUGGGGGUGGGUCUUUCCCAUGCUGUUCUCAUUAUAGUGAAUAAGUCUCACAAGAUCUGAUGAUUUUAAUAAAUGGGAGUCUCCCUAAGAAAGCUCUCUUUUCUUGUCUGCUGCCAUGUGAGACAUGUCUUUCACCUUCCACCAUGAUUUUGAGGCCUACCUAGCCAUGUGGAACUGUAAGUCUGUUAAAUCUCCUUUUUUUUUUUUUUUUUGUAAAUUUCCUAGUCUCCAGUACGUCUUUAUCAGCAGCAUGAAAACAGGCUGAUAGAACUGGCAAAACUUAUUUUUAAAAAUAAAUGUUGGCAACCCACUGCAGGUGUUAUGAAAGCAUAGGAUGCCCUGCUUUCUUAAGAUAACUGCACAACAGGGCACAUGUUUAAGAAUCUGGAUUUUAGUCAAAUAUCCAAAGGUUUGUUCCUUAAGGACAUUUUGGAAAAAAUCUAUAACCUUAGUAAAAUGGGGAUUAAAACAAUAUAAAGAUAUUGCUCUUUGAGUAGUGCCUCUGGUCAGGUCAACACUUAACACUUUUGUCUGUUAAAGCAUUUUAUAAAUAGUGAAUUUGUUUCCAACUAAUAAUAAUUUCAAAAUAGAAUAUUGUAGUAGCAUUCUAAAUAUGUAAGGUGCUUUUACAUACAAUUUUUAUUUACUUUAAUAUGUCUCAGUGAGGUUUGUAGGACAGACACUGUUACCUCUUUUGACAAAUGAAGAAACCCAGGCUAAGGGAAGUUGCAAGAGAUCAGGUAACUUGCCCUAAUCUUUGACACAGAUACUGGAAAGUGGAGGCAGAACUAGGCUCCAGGGUUACUACAGAUUAAAUCUCUCAUUGAAUGACUCUCCAAUUUCCAAGAAUUAAUUCUUUCAACAGAGAAUUUUAAAAUUCUCACUGUGCAUUAGGCAUUAUGAUAAAAGCAACCAAGAAACAGUGUACUUAAAGACAAUAAAGUAGGUAAACACUGAUAAGAAAUACCCUCAACCAUAGUUACUUACUGAGGAGAGUUAGGAAAGACUUCAAAAAAGAAAGAAUGUUUUUGCCUAGUCAUGAAAGAUGAUUAACAUUUUACUAGACUGAUGGUAUUCUGACAGUCUGGGAGCAUAAUAUUCAAUGGAAAAAAAAAAAAAAAGAAGGAUGAUAUGGUUUGACUGUGUCCCCACCCAAAUCUUAUCUUGAAUUAUAGUUCCCAUAAUCCCCACAUGUUCUGGAAGGGACCCAGUGAGAGAUAAUUGAAUCAUGGGGGCAUUUACCCCUGUUCUGCUGUGCUCAUUAUAGUGAGUGCAUUCUCACAAAAUCUAACGGUUUUACAAGGGACUUUUCCCUCUUUUUCUGCAUGCUUCUUCCUGCUGCCAUGCAUAGAAGGACAUGUUUGCUUCCCUUUCCACCAUGAUUGUAAGUUUCCUGAGGCCUCCUUCGCUAUGCUGAACUAUGAGUCAAUUAAACCUCUUUCCUUUAGAAAUUACCUAGUCUCAGAUAUGUCUUUAUUGACAGCAUGAGAAUGGACUAACACAAAGGACAACAGAAAUUUGAUGUGGUUGGAAUUUAGACAGGUGAAAUAGUUGGAGGUGGGGAUGGGGAAGUAGAGAUGGUAAAGAAUGGUGGUGGUAGGAGAUGAAAUUUAAAAGGUAGGCAAAUAUAUAUAUUUUUGUCCCUUGGGUACUCUCCUCAUUGAAAAGUGGUUUCUAUGUCCCCUCCAAUUGAAUCUGGAUGGACUCUGACUAUGUGACCAACAAAAUACCAUGUAAGUGAUGCUUUCUAGGACUAUUCUUUAAGAGGUUGGCAGCUUGCAUUAUCCUAAUUCUACUUGCUCCUAGAACAUAACCACCAUGCUGUGAGAAAACUCAAACAACCCUGUGGGGAGUAACCAUUUACCACAGCUGCGAGCCCAGGUUGAGCUCCCAGCCAACAACCAGCAUCGAGUUGCCAACCAUCUGAAGGAGCUACUUGAAAGUGAAUCCUCACCCCUUUAUAAGACCCACAGUGGAGAGCACAUGAAGCAGAGACGAGCUACCUCUUCAGAGCCAUAAACAAUUUCAUAUUUAAU